CCUACGGGAGGCAGCAGUGGGGAAUAUUGCACAAUGGGGGAAACCCUGAUGCAGCGACGCCGCGUGAGCGAAGAAGUAUUUCGGUACGUAAAGCCCUAUCAGCAGGGAAGAAAAUGACGGUAUCUGACUAAGAAGCCCCGGCUAACUACGCGCCAGCAGCCGCGGUAAUACGUAGGGGGCACGCGUUAUCCGGAUUUAUUGGGUGUAAAGGGAGCGUAGACGGCAGCGCAAGUCUGAAGUGAAAGCCCAUGGCUUAACCGUGGGACUGCUUUGGAAACUGUGCGGCUGGAGUGCAGGAGAGGUAGGCGGAAUUCCUAGUGUAGCGGUGAAAUGCGUAGAUAUUAGGAGGAACACCAGUGGCGAAGGCGGCUUACUGGACGGUGACUGACGUUGAGGCUCGAAAGCGUGGGGAGCAAACAGGAUUAGAUACCCCAGUAGUC
rnacentral:rRNA from 1 species